GCUGGCUGUACCGCUAAGAAUCAAAGCCUUGCAGUGGAACAUGACUGACAAGUAGGUUUUGCUCUUCUGAGAUAUGAAGAGACCAGGUGGUCAUUCCUACCAGGGAGAAGUGAGGCUCAGUGGCGUGGCUGUCCCGGGCAAGGAGGGGGAAAAAAAAUACAGCAAACAAAAAAAGCCACUUCAAAUAGUUCAGCCAGUAGCAAAUCUGAAUCAAGUCUGCAGACAUGGAGAUGAGAGAAAUGCAGCUGAGUUGAACGUUGAGGGCGUGAAAACUUCAGGAAGUUGCUAG
rnacentral:lncRNA from 1 species